rnacentral:pre_miRNA from 1 species
CCUGAGGGUCGUUAACUUUAACGGUCAACGGUUAAAGAGUUUUUUAUUCAAUUUAUAAUUUUUUAUGAUUUUUAUAAAAAAAAUUCUAAUUUUUAAUAUUUUUUGCCACAUAUCACGCCGUGGUUGUGACACGGGGUGACUUUGAUUGAAAAAAAUUAAGGGUAGUUAACUUUAACAAUUAACUGUUAAAGUUAAUGAUCAAAAAG